rnacentral:rRNA from 1 species
UACCGCCUUGGGAUAGGCUUGCGUCUGAUUAGCUAGUUGGUGUGGUAAUGGCACACCAAGGCUACGAUCAGUAACUGGUCUGAGAGGAUGAUCAGUCACACUGGAACUGAGACACGGUCCAGACUCCUACGGGAGGCAGCAGUGAGGAAUAUUGGGCAAUGCACGAAAGUGUGACCCAGCAACGCCGCGUGGAGGAUGAAGGUAUUCUAUAUCGUAAACUCCUGUGAGAGCAGACGAAAGACAGAUUAUUAAUUUGGAUGACUGUAUGCUCAGAGGAAGCCCCGGCUAACUACGUG